rnacentral:rRNA from 1 species
UUAAGCGACUAAGCGUACACGGUGGAUGCCCUGGCAGUCAGAGGCGAUGAAGGACGUGCUAAUCUGCGAAAAGCGUCGGUAAGGUGAUAUGAACCGUUAUAACCGGCGAUGUCCGAAUGGGGAAACCCAGUGCAAUUCGUUGCACUAUCGUUAACUGAAUACAUAGGUUAACGAGGCGAACCGGGGGAACUGAAACAUCUAAGUACCCCGAGGAAAAGAAAUCAACCGAGAUUCCCCCAGUAGCGGCGAGCGAACGGGGAGCAGCCCAGAGUCUGAAUCAGCUUGUGUGUUAGUGGAACGGUCUGGAAAGUCCGACGGUACAGGGUGAUAGUCCCGUACACCAAAAUGCACAGGCUGUGAACUCGAAGAGUAGGGCGGGACACGUGGUAUCCUGUCUGAAUAUGGGGGGACCAUCCUCCAAGGCUAAAUACUCCUGACUGACCGAUAGUGAACCAGUACCGUGAGGGAAAGGCGAAAAGAACCCCGGCGAGGGGAGUGAAAAAGAACCUGAAACCGUGUACGUACAAGCAGUGGGAGCACCUUCGGGUGUGACUGCGUACCUUUUGUAUAAUGGGUCAGCGACUUAUAUUCUGUAGCAAGGUUAACCGUAUAGGGGAGCCGCAGGGAAACCGAGUCUUAACUGGGCGUUAAGUUGCAGGGUAUAGACCCGAAACCCGGUGAUCUAGCCAUGGGCAGGUUGAAGGUUGGGUAACACUAACUGGAGGACCGAACCGACUAAUGUUGAAAAAUUAGCGGAUGACUUGUGGCUGGGGGUGAAAGGCCAAUCAAACCGGGAGAUAGCUGGUUCUCCCCGAAAGCUAUUUAGGUAGCGCCUCGUGAACUCAUCUUCGGGGGUAGAGCACUGUUUCGGCUAGGGGGUCAUCCCGACUUACCAACCCGAUGCAAACUACGAAUACCGAAGAAUGUUAUCACGGGAGACACACGGCGGGUGCUAACGUCCGUCGUGAAGAGGGAAACAACCCAGACCGCCAGCUAAGGUCCCAAAGUCAUGGUUAAGUGGGAAACGAUGUGGGAAGGCACAGACAGCCAGGAUGUUGGCUUAGAAGCAGCCAUCAUUUAAAGAAAGCGUAAUAGCUCACUGGUCGAGUCGGCCUGCGCGGAAGAUGUAACGGGGCUAAACCAUGCACCGAAGCUGCGGCAGCGACACUAUGUGUUGUUGGGUAGGGGAGCGUUCUGUAAGCCUGCGAAGGUGACCUGUGAGGGUUGCUGGAGGUAUCAGAAGUGCGAAUGCUGACAUAAGUAACGAUAAAGCGGGUGAAAAGCCCGCUCGCCGGAAGACCAAGGGUUCCUGUCCAACGUUAAUCGGGGCAGGGUGAGUCGACCCCUAAGGCGAGGCCGAAAGGCGUAGUCGAUGGGAAACAGGUUAAUAUUCCUGUACUUGGUGUUACUGCGAAGGGGGGACGGAGAAGGCUAUGUUAGCCGGGCGACGGUUGUCCCGGUUUAAGCAUGUAGGCUGAUUGUCCAGGCAAAUCCGGAUAAUCAAGGCUGAGGUGUGAUGACGAGGCACUACGGUGCUGAAGUAACAAAUGCCCUGCUUCCAGGAAAAGCCUCUAAGCAUCAGGUAACAUUAAAUCGUACCCCAAACCGACACAGGUGGUCAGGUAGAGAAUACCAAGGCGCUUGAGAGAACUCGGGUGAAGGAACUAGGCAAAAUGGUGCCGUAACUUCGGGAGAAGGCACGCUGGUGUGUAGGUGAAGUCCCUGCGGAUGGAGCUGAGACCAGUCGAAGAUACCAGCUGGCUGCAACUGUUUAUUAAAAACACAGCACUGUGCAAACACGAAAGUGGACGUAUACGGUGUGACGCCUGCCCGGUGCCGGAAGGUUAAUUGAUGGGGUUAUCCGUAAGGAGAAGCUCUUGAUCGAAGCCCCGGUAAACGGCGGCCGUAACUAUAACGGUCCUAAGGUAGCGAAAUUCCUUGUCGGGU